UCGCUUCGAGCGCCGAAGGCAGGAGCGGGGGACCCAAGGUAAGCGCCGGGCCCGUCCGUUGCGCAGCGAGAUGUUGCGCGAGGGGCAGGAGCGGCUAGGGGUUAAGUCGCACGCAGUCUGUGCGGCCGGGCACUCACCCGCCCGAACCCGACAGCUCACCUCGCAGGCGUCGGUGAGGGGAUCC
rnacentral:sRNA from 1 species